CCCAGGGCUGUGUCUGAGGUGUCGGCUGGCAGUGAGGUGUCUCCAUGUCCCUUCUGAGCAUCUCUCCUGGUUUUCUCACAAGACAACAGGAGCAAAGACCCCGGCAGAUGUGUUUGAAAGUGUUGGCUUAAUAUACUUACUCUGUGCAGAUGAAAAUACAUAGGGACAGCAGAAACGUGAUUAUAACACACAACGGAAGGAUUCCCUUUGUUCAGAGCUCUGAAAGUUCUCUGUGUUCCAGAAGUUCGAUCAACUACGGGAAAACUAGAAAACGGGAAUUGGCAGUUUUUCAUAGCUUUCAUUUUGGAACAUUUCGACCUGUCGGAAGAGUGGGAGGAAGGGUCCGAUGAGCGGCCAAGUGCCCUUCAGCUGCAUCCAGCGCCCGUCCACUGCCCCGCCUGCGCGCCGCCCGCCAGCCGCCCGCCACCCGUCGCUCGUCUCCCCCAUCUCCGCCAGGGACCCGUGCUCCGUCCUCCUGUGUGCGCUCACGUGCGUCUGUCCAUCACCUGUCAGCGCCACUGCCUGCUCCCCGAACCACGUGAGAACAAGCUUUGGCAUCCUGACCCUUCACCUGCAGCAGUACCACGGCCUCCAAGGACAACAGAGUCCGCCCACGUCACUGUGACGCCGCCACCACACCCAGGAGUCUUACCUGGGUACAGUCACCUAAUGUUUGUCCCGCGGACCCAGCUGCGUCCCGCGAGCUACUUGCUGUUCUCGACGGAGGAGUCAGUCCAGGACUGGGUGCUGCGGUGA
rnacentral:lncRNA from 1 species